CGCGUGGUUCUAUUUUGUUGGUUUUUAGAACCGCCGUAAUGAUUAAUAGGGACAGUCGGGGGCAUCUGUAUUCAAUUGUCAGAGGUGAAAUUCUUGGAUCUAUUGAAGACAAACUACUGCGAAAGCAUUUGCCAAGGAUGUUUUCAUUGAUAAGGAACGAAAGUUAGGGGAUCGAAGACGAUCAGAUACCGUCGUAGUCUUAACUAUAAACUAUGCCGACUAGGGAUCGGACGAUGUUAUUUUUGACUCGUUCGGCACCUUUCGAGAAAUCAAAGUGCUUGGGCUCCAGGGGGAGUAUGGUCGCAAGGCUGAAACUUAAAGAAAUUGACGGAAGGGCACCACCAGGGGUGGAACCUGCGGCUUAAUUUGACUCAACACGGGGAAACUCACCAGGUCCAGACACAGUGAGGAUUGACAGAUUGAUAGCUCUUUCUUGAUUCUGUGGGUGGUGGUGCAUGGCCGUUCUUAGUUGGUGGAGUGAUUUGUCUGCUUAAUUGCGAUAACGAACGAGACCUUAACCUGCUAAAUAGCCCGUAUUGCUUCGGCAGUACGCUGGCUUCUUAGAGGGACUAUCGGCUCAAGCCGAUGGAAGUUUGAGGCAAUAACAGGUCUGUGAUGCCCUUAGAUGUCCUGGGCCGCACGCGCGUUACACUGACAAAGCCAGCGAGUAUUUCCUUAGCCGGAAGGCUUGGGUAAUCUUGUUAAACUUUGUCGUGC
rnacentral:rRNA from 1 species